rnacentral:rRNA from 1 species
AUUGAACGCUGGCGGCAGGCCUAACACAUGCAAGUCGAGCGGAUGAAGGGAGCUUGCUCCUGGAUUCAGCUGCGGACGGGUGAGUAAUGCCUAGGAAUCUGCCUGGUAGUGGGGGAUAACGUCCGGAAACGGGCGCUAAUACCGCAUACGUCCUGAGGGAGAAAGUGGGGGAUCUUCGGACCUCACGCUAUCAGAUGAGCCUAGGUCGGAUUAGCUAGUUGGUGGGGUAAAGGCCUACCAAGGCGACGAUCCGUAACUGGUCUGAGAGGAUGAUCAGUCACACUGGAACUGAGACACGGUCCAGACUCCUACGGGAGGCAGCAGUGGGGAAUAUUGGACAAUGGGCGCAAGCCUGAUCCAGCCAUGCCGCGUGUGUGAAGAAGGUCUUCGGAUUGUAAAGCACUUUAAGUUGGGAGGAAGGGCAGUAAGUUAAUACCUUGCUGUUUUGACGUUACCAACAGAAUAAGCACCGGCUAACUUCGUG